AGUUCGGUCCUCAAAAGCAUGAUUUCUUCAAUUGAGGGAGACAAAGGAAGGGUUAUUAUCUCCACUUGCAAGAUGAAGCACACUGAGACACAGAAAGACUGAUGUCCAGCUCCUCAAAAGUUCUGCAGGGAGGAGGGAGACUGUUGUACAGAGAUUUGGAAAUGUACAGAGGUUUGGAUAAUGCCUAUAUACUAGUCCCAAAUUUUCCAAACAUCACUCUCCCCUUGCCAAUAAAGGACUGAAAUCUUAUAUAGUGAAGGGUACUAUGUGCAGCCGCUAUCCUAGGAAAAGACGAGAGAGCAAACAGUGACCCUUGGCCUAAUUCUGGAGUCACCUAUACCUGCCAAAGACAAGCAUCUAAGCUGGUGUUUCACUUCCUUACCAUCAGAGUCAGUUGCGUUUACACCCCUUGCUGAAAUGUGGCCAACAUUUUGGUUGUAUGUGAACUCUGGACCUCAAAAGUCAGGCUCAGCUGAACCAGAUGUAACAUCAAAACCAUUUGAAAGUGCAACCCAUCAA